rnacentral:rRNA from 1 species
GACGAACGCUGGCGGCGUGCCUAAUACAUGCAAGUAGAACGCUGAAGGAGGAGCUUGCUUCUCUGGAUGAGUUGCGAACGGGUGAGUAACGCGUAGGUAACCUGCCUGGUAGCGGGGGAUAACUAUUGGAAACGAUAGCUAAUACCGCAUAAUAGUAGAUGUUGCAUGACAUUUGCUGAAAAGUUGCAAUUGCAUCACUACAAUAUGGACCUGCGUUGUAUUAGCUAGUUGGUGAGGUAACGGCUCACCAAGGCAACGAUACAUAGCCGACCUGAGAGGGUGAUCGGCCACACUGGGACUGAGACACGGCCCAGACUCCUACGGGAGGCAGCAGUAGGGGAUCUUCGGCAAUAGACGGAAGUCUGACCGAGCAACGCCGCGUGAGUGAAGAAGGUUUUCGGAUCGUAAAGCUCUGUUGUAAGAGAAGAACGAGUGUGAGAGUGGAAAGUUCACACUGUGACGGUAUCUUAACAGAAAGGGACGGCUAACUACGUG